CCCAAGCAGUCUGUUUUAGCAGGCUCUCCAGGUGAUGCCGAUGCACACUGGAACUUGAGAACCACUGUGGAGGGCUAUCAAGUGCUUCUAGUCCCUCCCAGAUGCUUCCCAACCCUGGAGCAGCACCUCAGUAGAGCAGCGGAAGACCGCCUGUGGCCUCUGGGAAUUGCUGAUACCGAGCAGAGACAGUCCCUGACCAGAGACGUUUAGGAAUGUGAUGGGCAGUCCUGGCCUGUGUUACCUGAGGCAUCAAAACGAAGAGACCACAAGGUAAAGAAAGUAUCUCCAGUGGAAGAAGACAUGUGACUAUAGCAGCCUCAGGGACCCCAAUGGUUGUCCCAUGUUCCAAAGGAUCAAGAACACAGUUGUGAGGAAAAGCCACCUCUGCCAAGGCCAGAAGCAGACCCCUUUCUCCUUCAGGAAUCUAGA
rnacentral:lncRNA from 10 species